GAAGACUUUAGAUAUGAUCCAGAGUACCACGGGACACGUGAAACCCUGUGGGAAGCAGGAGGGACCACCCUCCAAGGCUAAAUACUACCUAGUGACCGAUAGCGUAUAGUACCGUGAGGGAAAGGUGAAAAGAACCCCGGGAGGGGAGUGAAAUAGAACCUGAAACCCUGCACUUACAAGCUGUGGAAGCACAUUUCUUGUGUGACCGCGUACUUUUUGUAGAACGGGCCAACGAGUUACGUUAAGUAG
rnacentral:rRNA from 1 species